UACGUAGGGUGCGAGCGUUAAUCGGAAUUACUGGGCGUAAAGCGCACGUAGGCGGCUUGGUAUGUCGGGUGUGAAAUCCCCGGGCUCAACCUGGGAACUGCAUCCGAAACUGCCUUGCUCGAGUAUGGGAGAGGGAAGUGGAAUUUCCGGUGUAGCGGUGAAAUGCGUAGAUAUCAGGAGGAACACCGGUGGCGAAGGCGGAUCUCUGGACCAGUUCUGACACUGAUGAGCGAAAGCCAGGGGAGCAAACAGG
rnacentral:rRNA from 1 species